AACGAACGCUGGCGGCACGUUUUAAGCAUGCAAGUCGAAUGGCAGUGGGGGCAACCCCAUGAGAAUGGCGAACGGGUGAGUAACACGUAGGUGAUCUGCCUGACGGAUGGGGAUAGCUUGUGGAAACACAGGGUAAUACCGAAUGAGCUGACGAGACUUUGGUUUUGUUAGUAAAGGUGCUACGGCACCGCCGACAGAGGAGCCUGCGGCUGAUUAGCUAGUUGGUGGGGUAAAGGCCUACAAAGGCGACGAUCAGUAGCCGGCCUGAGAGGGUGGACGGCCAUACUGGAACUGAGACACGGUACAGACGCCUACGGGAGGCAGCAGCUAAGAAUCUGCCGCAAUGGGCGAAAGCCUGAAGGAGGGAGGCCGCGUGAUCGAUGAAGGUCGAGAGAUUGUAAAGAUCUUUUCUACAUGAGGAAGAAGUCUGGGAGGGAAUGCCUGGAUGAUGACGUUAGUGUAGGAAUAAGCCCCGGCUAAUUACGCGCCAGCCGCCGCCGUAA
rnacentral:rRNA from 1 species